AACGAACGCUGGCGGCAUGCCUAACACAUGCAAGUCGAACGAAGGCUUCGGCCUUAGUGGCGCACGGGUGCGUAACGCGUGGGAAUCUGCCCUUUGGUUCGGAAUAACAGCUGGAAACGGCUGCUAAUACCGGAUGAUGACGAAAGUCCAAAGAUUUAUCGCCAGAGGAUGAGCCCGCGUUGGAUUAGGUAGUUGGUGGGGUAAAGGCCUACCAAGCCGACGAUCCAUAGCUGGUCUGAGAGGAUGAUCAGCCACACUGGGACUGAGACACGGCCCAGACUCCUACGGGAGGCAGCAGUGGGGAAUAUUGGACAAUGGGCGCAAGCCUGAUCCAGCAAUGCCGCGUGAGUGGUGAAGGCCCUAGGGUUGUAAAGCUCUUUUACCCGGGAAGAUAAUGACUGUACCGGGAGAAUAAGCCCCGGCUAACUCCGUG
rnacentral:rRNA from 1 species